AUGCGACCCAGACAAAAUGGCGGUCGAAUUAUUAAUAGUAUGGAUGCUAUCUAAUAAUACGUUCCGUAAUAGUCAUGUUUAAAGCUUAUAGAUGUCUCGAGUGGGACUUGUCUUAACUCUGCUCCUUGCUGUUACACUAGCUGAAGCCUACCUGAGCUCCUCCAACUACGUACUGGCAUUCCCUCAUCACGUGACAGCCGUCGUGUACAUAUCGUCCAUCCAAUCCACCAGCAUCAGGUUAGUGGAUUACUACAAGGAUCCACCCUACGCGGAGAAAUUCGACACAUCAUGGAUCAUCGACAAAGUCUACUUUGUAGAACAUUU